AUGCUGUUUUGGUAUUGAGGCAGUUGACCAUAGGGGAAAGACACCUCCCACACACAGCUGUACCUCGCGGGCAAGCAUGACACUUUGGUGGCCCAGCAUCCGUAAUUACCCAGGAGUGACUGUCAGCGGGCACUCUCAGGGGGCUGCUCUGCUCCCAAAACACAGCUAAGCGAGCUUCGCUAUGAUGUUCAUAGGAAGUUAGUGUCGGCUUUCAAAUUUGAGGCUACAGUUCCUUUUUUGUUGUUUCUUUGUGACUAAUUAUUUGAAGACACCAUCUGUGCAGACUGCAUUACUAGAUGUGUAUGGCCAUGGGGACGUGAUAAGUGCUAAGUUUCAUUCAGGUCAGGUUGUUUACUUGGAAGAAUGUGAGGCUUUUACACUGAAUUAUUUCUAUUUCUAUUUCAAAUAAUUGGAUGUUUUUUCCUCAGGUCUUACAAGGCCCGUGUGGUAGGCAUGAAAAUCUUAAAGAUGAUGAUGAUGAUUAUUAAGUAGUAACAGUAGGAGGAGGAGGUCAGAGACGGUUUUACAUCGUGAGCCAUUGACCCAAGAUUAAUUUAAGGUUUGGCUGUAGGCACGUUUUGUGGAUUGUGGAAUAUAUAUUGGAAUGAUUUCACAUUCCUAUUACUAUAGCAGUUUAAUAGAGAAUUUCAUUAGAGUUCUUUAAGCAGCGCUUGCCUCUAGGGAGAUUAGACAGUUAGGUUUAUUGUUCUAUUCAGAACAGACCAAUACAAACAACCCUGAUAGGCAACCCAGAUAUUGCCUGUUGAAAAUCAGGGAUUGGAAAGGCCUGAUGGAGGGUGUGGAGAGGGAAGAGGGGUGGACUAAUUAGCCUUCUUUGUGUCCUGGGCCUGGUCCUUAUUGUGCAGAGGCAUGGCAAGACUUUUCUCUCCCUUUCUUUUUUUUUUUACCCGGCCAGCAUAUUACAGUGGGAUUAAACUGAAGGAGCUGAAGGCUUUCGGUUGGCAUUAUUAAAGCUCGCCUCCCGCAAACUGUGCCAUUGUGACGAACCGCGUGGUUUUAAUCUGUGAGACCCACGCCACCAGCCAGCUAAACAGGGCAGGGGGGAGACUGGAGGUGGGGUGUGGGGGUGCGCCUCUUCCGAGAAAGGAAUGAAUUGUAUCUCAUCCAGACGGGACUGCAUCAUGUCACUCAAGUCCGACCCCACCUUCCCCUCCUCAUCGAUUGUGCGCCUCAUAUCUCCCUGGCAGGUAUUGUGAGAUAGUCUUUAGAAUCGCCGCAGCGAAGCCUCACCGGUCAUUCAGCAUGCAGUCUGGUUUAUUAAUGUCCAUGUGAAUGCGCCGCUGUGUUGGGAGCCUCUGGGUGCCGGGGCCAGCGUUUACCCAGUUAUUUUAAUGGAUGUCUGGAGAGCGCUGCUAAUGAAGGACAAAUCCACUGCAUGGCCAACACCAACCAAAGGAGCACUGAGCACUCGGGACUUGCUGUACUGUCCAUCAUUUUAGGCAGCUAAUGGGAAGAAGAGAGAAAAAAAAGAAGAAAAUAAGAAAUAAACAAACA